GAUGAACGCUGGCGGCGUGCCUAAUACAUGCAAGUCGAGCGAACGGACGAGAAGCUUGCUUCUCUGAUGUUAGCGGCGGACGGGUGAGUAACACGUGGAUAACCUACCUAUAAGACUGGGAUAACUUCGGGAAACCGGAGCUAAUACCGGAUAAUAUUUUGAACCGCAUGGUUCAAAAGUGAAAGACGGUCUUGCUGUCACUUAUAGAUGGAUCCGCGCUGCAUUAGCUAGUUGGUAAGGUAACGGCUUACCAAGGCAACGAUGCAUAGCCGACCUGAGAGGGUGAUCGGCCACAAUGGAACUGAGACACGGUCCAGACUCCUAAGGGAGGCAGCAGUAGGGAAACUUCCGCAAUGGGCGAAAGCCUGACGGAGCAACGCCGCGUGAGUGAUGAAGGUCUUCGGAUCGUAAAACUCUGUUAUUAGGGAAGAACAUAUGUGUAAGUAACUGGGCAAAUCUUGACGGUACCUAAUCAGAAAGCCACGGCUAACUACGUG
rnacentral:rRNA from 1 species